AAAAGUGAAAAAGCUGAGCACGCAGCAGCGUCUACCAGCGUGCAGAGAAAGAGUUUUUGAGAGAGCCCAUGAGGAAACUGCGUGAGAGGGGUUAUUAUUGCACGUUAAUAUGGAUAAUAGCAAA